rnacentral:rRNA from 1 species
UGGGGAAUUUUGGACAAUGGGCGAAAGCCUGAUCCAGCAAUGCCGCGUGUGUGAAGAAGGCCUUCGGGUUGUAAAGCACUUUUGUCCGGAAAGAAAUCCUUGGCUCUAAUACAGUCGGGGGAUGACGGUACCGGAAGAAUAAGCACCGGCUAACUACGUGCCAGCAGCCGCGGUAAUACGUAGGGUGCAAGCGUUAAUCGGAAUUACUGGGCGUAAAGCGUGCGCAGGCGGUUUGCUAAGACCGAUGUGAAAUCCCCGGGCUCAACCUGGGAACUGCAUUGGUGACUGGCAGGCUAGAGUAUGGCAGAGGGGGGUAGAAUUCCACGUGUAGCAGUGAAAUGCGUAGAGAUGUGGAGGAAUACCGAUGGCGAAGGCAGCCCCCUGGGCCAAUACUGACGCUCAUGCACGAAAGCGUGGGGAGCAAACAGGAUUAGAUACCCUGGUAGUCCACGCCCUAAACGAUGUCAACUAGUUGUUGGGGAUUCAUUUCCUUAGUAACGUAGCUAACGCGUGAAGUUGACCGCCUGGGGAGUACGUCGCAAGAUU